GGAUGCUGGAGGUAUCAGAAGUGCGAAUGCUGACAUGAGUAGCGAUAAUGGGGGUGAAAAGCCUCCACGCCGUAAGCCCAAGGUUUCCUGUUCAACGUUCAUCGGAGCAGGGUGAGUCGGCCCCUAAGGCGAGGCAGAGAUGCGUAGCUGAUGGGAAGCAGGUUAAUAUUCCUGCACCGUCGUAUGAUGCGAUGGGGGGACGGAUCGCGGAAGGUUGUCUAGCUGUUGGAAUAGCUAGUUCCUGGUUCAUAGAAGGCGCUUAGGCAAAUCCGGGCGCGUAAUUCAAGGGAUCGGGACGAGUGGCCUUGUGCCGCGAAGCAAUCGGAAGUGGUUCCAAGAAAAGCCUCUAAGCUUCAGUCAUACGAGACCGUACCGCAAACCGACACAGGUGGGCGAGAUGAGUAUUCUAAGGCGCUUGAGAGAACUCGGGAGAAGGAACUCGGCAAAUUGGUACCGUAACUUCGGGAAAAGGUACGCCCCGGUAGCUUGACUGCUUUACUGCAGAAGGGUGAAAGGGUUGCAAUAAACUGGUGGCUGCGACUGUUUAAUAAAAACACAGCACUCUGCAAACACGAAAGUGGACGUAUAGGGUGUGACGCCUGCCCGGUGCUGGAAGAUUAAAUGAUGGGGUGCAAGCUCUUGAUUGAAGUCCCAGUAAACGGCGGCCGUAACUAUAACGGUCCUAAGGUAGCGAAAUUCCUUGUCGGGUAAGUUCCGACCUGCACGAAUGGCGUAACGAUGGCCACACUGUCUCCUCCCGAGACUCAGCGAAGUUGAAAUGUUUGUGAUGAUGCAAUCUACCCGCGGCUAGACGGAAAGACCCCAUGAACCUUUACUGUAGCUUUGCAUUGGACUUUGAACCAAUCUGUGUAGGAUAGGUGGGAGGCUUUGAAGCGGGGACGCCAGUUCUCGUGGAGCCAUCCUUGAAAUACCACCCUGGUUCGUUUGAGGUUCUAACCUUGGCCCGUAAUCCGGGUCGGGGACAGUGCAUGGUAGGCAGUUUGACUGGGGCGGUCUCCUCCUAAACGGUAACGGAGGAGUUCGAAGGUACGCUAGGUACGGUCGGACAUCGUGCUAAUAGUGCAAUGGCAUAAGCGUGCUUAACUGCGAGACCGACAAGUCGAGCAGGUACGAAAGUAGGACAUAGUGAUCCGGUGGUUCUGUAUGGAAGGGCCAUCGCUCAACGGAUAAAAGGUACUCUGGGGAUAACAGGCUGAUUCCUCCCAAGAGUUCAUAUCGACGGGGGAGUUUGGCACCUCGAUGUCGGCUCAUCACAUCCUGGGGCUGUAGCCGGUCCCAAGGGUAUGGCUGUUCGCCAUUUAAAGUGGUACGUGAGCUGGGUUUAAAACGUCGUGAGACAGUUUGGUCCCUAUCUGCCGUGGGCGUUGGAAAUUUGAAGGGGGCUGCUCCUAGUACGAGAGGACCGGAGUGGACGAACCUCUGGUGUACCGGUUGUCACGCCAGUGGCAUUGCCGGGUAGCUAAGUUCGGAAGAGAUAACCGCUGAAAGCAUCUAAGCGGGAAACUCGCCUUGAGAUGAGAUUUCCCGGAGCCUUGAGCUCCUUGAAGGGUCGUUCGAGACCAGGACGUUGAUAGGUCGGGUGUGGAAGUGCAGUAAUGCAUUAAGCUAACCGAUACUAAUUGCCCGUACGGCUUGUCCCU
rnacentral:rRNA from 1 species